CGGAGGGGGAGCAGGGGAUCCCGAGAGCGGAUGCAGGGCGACCUGGCGGGAGCAGCUUGAAGCAACCCAAGUGUCCAGUGUCCAUCAAUGGGUGAAUGGUUCGUCAAACUAUGGUCCAUCCAUACCAUGGAAUACUCCUCGGCAAGAAGAAGGAAUGAACUAUUAUUGUGGAAGAAAGUAUUCAAGGGUUUCUUGGGUAAAGAAAACUCUAUUUCAAAAAACAGAUUCCGGGGCUUCCCUGGUGGCGCAGUGGUUAAGAAUCUGCCUGCCAAUGCAGGGCACACGGGUUCGAGCCCUGGUCCGGAAAGAUCCCACAUGCUGUGGAGCAACUAAGCCCGUGCGCCACAACUACUGAGCCUGCGCUCCAGAGCCCGCGAGCCACAACUGCUGAAGCCUGGGCGCCUAGAGCCCAUGCUCUGCAACAAGAGAAGCCACCGCAAUGAGAAGCCCACUCACCACAACUAGAGAAAGCCCGCACACAGCAACAAAGACCCAACGCACCCAAAAAUAAAUAAAUAAAAUAAAAUUAAAAAAACCCAAAAAAUAGAUUCCGUGGGAAUCCCCUGGCGGUCCAGUGGUGAGGACUCUGCCUUUCCACUGCAGGGGGCGAAGUUUCGAUCCCUGGUUGGAGAACUAAGACCCCGCAUGCCGCGCGGGAUGGAGGGAGGGGGAUGGGAAGUUAUUGCUUACUAGGGACAGAGUUUCCGUUUCAAAAGAGAACAAGAGUUCAGGAAAUGGGU